CCCAUGGAGUAAGAAAUGGCAACUCACUUCAGUAUUCUUGCCUGGGAAAUCCCAUGGACAGAGGAGGGCCAGGCUACAAUCCAGGGGGUCACAAAGAGUCAGACAUGACUUAGCAACUAAAUAACGAAAGGACACGACUUAAGUUGGAGGAAAAUUGCUUUGCGAUGUUUGUUGGUUUCCGCUGCACAGCAGUGUGAAUCAGCUGGCUUUCCAGAUGGCACUAGUGGUAAAGAACCUGCCUGCCACUGCAGGAGACAGAAG